GACGAACGCUGGCGGCGUGCUUAACACAUGCAAGUCGAACGGAAAGGCCCUGCUUUUGUGGGGUGCUCGAGUGGCGAACGGGUGAGUAACACGUGAGUAACCUGCCCUUGACUUUGGGAUAACUUCAGGAAACUGGGGCUAAUACCGGAUAGGAGCUCCUGCUGCAUGGUGGGGGUUGGAAAGUUUCGGCGGUUGGGGAUGGACUCGCGGCUUAUCAGCUUGUUGGCGGGGUAGUGGCUUACCAGGGCUUUGACGGGUAGCCGGCCUGAGAGGGUGACCGGCCACAUUGGGACUGAGAUACGGCCCAGACUCCUACGGGAGGCAGCAGUGGGGAAUAUUGCACAAUGGGCGGAAGCCUGAUGCAGCAACGCCGCGUGCGGGAUGACGGCCUUCGGGUUGUAAACCGCUUUCGCCUGUGACGAAGCGUGAGUGACGGUAAUGGGUAAAGAAGCAUCGGCUAACUACGUG
rnacentral:rRNA from 1 species